CUGCACGCGUGCUACACUGGAGUCCGCAACGUGUUCCAUGGCCGAAGGGUCAUUGGUAAACCGUUUAAACGACUCCGUGAUCGGGAUAGGGAAUUGCAAUUAUUUCCCUUCAACGAGGAAUUCCUAGUAAGUGCGAGUCAUCAACUUGCUCUAAUUAUGU
rnacentral:rRNA from 1 species